ensembl:snRNA U2 U2 spliceosomal RNA
CUCACUUCUCAACCUUUUGAUUAAGAUCAAGCAUAGUAUCUUUUCUUAUCAGUUUAAUUUGACACAUCCUCUAUCCAAGAUCAAAGCAAAAGUAGAUUUGGUAUCUGAUGAGGGUUUAACUCUUCAUAGGCUGCACUUUCUUGCAGUAAUCUCACAUGGUGGAAGGGGCCAGUGUCU